rnacentral:rRNA from 1 species
GGGCCACCACAAGAACGCGUGGAGCAUGUGGCUUAAUUUGACUCAACGCGGGAAAUCUUACCGGGUCCGGACACACUGAGGAUUGACAGGCAAUAUUAAUACUUUGCUUCGGCAUUGUAUUAUGUUAAAUAUGCUAGUCCUUUCAUGAUUAUGUGAUAGGUGGUGCAUGGCCGUUCUUAGUUCGUGGAGUGAUCUGUCUGCUUAAUUGCGUUUCACUAAGGGCCUAUAAAUUUACGUAUGUUGUAUCGCACUUUGACCCCUUUCUUUAWUUAGAAAGCGCGUGUCUUAGUUUCGCUUUGCUCAUACAAUUAGGUCCUGAAAGCAACGAACGUGACCGCAACCUCUUGUUGCCUUUAUACCAAACAUGUUUAUUCAUUUUUUAAUGUUCAUUCAUGAAAAAAGGCUUUUUAAACUAGAGGGACCGCUGUUACUUUCUUAAACCAGAGGAAGGUUGCGGCAAUAACAGGUCUGUGAUGCCCUUAGAUGUUCCGGGCUGCACACGUGCUACAAUGAUUAUUGCAGUGAGCAUCUCAUUUUUACACACCGCAUGCGCGAGUCCAUUUAUUCACCUUCGGGUGUUUUAAAUGUGUACCUCUGCGCGCGGUAAAGCCUGCUUCGAAAGUAAGUGGGUAAUCAAUUAGAAGUAAUGAUUUCCUUUUUUAGCACACAUAUAUACGGCGUCUAUGCCCGGGUUACCUUGUUGUAGCUUUGUGUGUAUAGAUGUUUUUYCGUAUGUGCGAUUGUCAAUUCAUGGUGGGGACAGACCAUUGUUAAUUGUUGGUCUCGGUCUUAACUAGGAAUGCCUUGUACGGGUCUUUGGUUCAACAAACCACCCGGAAUACGUCCCUGCCCUUUGUACACACCGCCCGUCGCUCUUACCGAUGGACUUCUCUGUGAGUUUGAGGGACUGGGAACGCAGGAAUUUAUUUCUGCACACCUAUGGAAACUUAAACGAACAGUGUGGUCUAAAGGAAAGAGAAGUCGUACAAGGCAUA